ACGGAGGGUGCGAGCGUUGUCCGGAAUCACUGGGCGUAAAGGGCGCGUAGGUGGCACGGUAGGCGUGUGGUGAAAGCUCGGGGCUCAACCCCGAGUCGGCCAUGCGAACUGCUGCGCUUGAGCACUGUAGAGGCAGACGGAAUUCCGGGUGUAGCGGUGGAAUGCGUAGAGAUCCGGAAGAACACCGGUGGCGAAGGCGGUCUGCUGGGCAGUAGC
rnacentral:rRNA from 1 species